CCUACGGGAGGCAGCAGUGGGGAAUAUUGCACAAUGGGGGAAACCCUGAUGCAGCAACGCCGCGUGGGUGAAGGAGCGUUUCGGCGCGUAAAGCCCUAUCGGCAGGGAAGAAGGAGGACGGUACCUGACUAAGAAGCCCCGGCUAACUACGUGCCAGCAGCCGCGGUAAUACGUAGGGGGCAAGCGUUAUCCGGAUUUACUGGGUGUAAAGGGAGCGUAGACGGCCAGGCAAGCCUGGAGUGAAAGCCCGGGGCCCAACCCCGGGACUGCUCUGGGAACUGUCCGGCUGGAGUGCGGGAGGGGCAGGCGGAAUUCCUGGUGUAGCGGUGAAAUGCGUAGAUAUCAGGAGGAACACCGGCGGCGAAGGCGGCCUGCUGGACCGCGACUGACGUUGAGGCUCGAAAGCGUGGGGAGCGAACAGGAUUAGAUACCCUUGUA
rnacentral:rRNA from 1 species